rnacentral:lncRNA from 1 species
ACAUGCAGAAGUUCCUGGGCCAGGGAUCAACGUCAUGCCACAGCAGUGACCCAAGCCACAGCAAUGCCAGUGUCAGAGCCUUUAACCACUAGGCCACUGGGGAACUCCAGCACAACCUAACUUUUUUUUUGCUUAAUAUUAGAUUGUUGAAAUUUAUCUGUAUUGUUCUACCUAGUUUGAGAUCAUUUCAUUUCCAUUUGUACACACUAUUCUGUUAUUUGAUUAUAUUACAAUUUGCUUAUUCAUUCUACUUUGAGAAACAUUUGGGUGGUUUGGGUUUAUUUUGUAAACCGUUAUUAAUAUAUGAAAAGCUGUGAUAGACAGCAGAACAGAAGAUUUCCCAGGGAAGAAGCUUGAAAGGAAAAUUGCCUAAGCAUAGGGUAUACACACUCAUCUUUACUGGAUAAUGCUCAACUGUUUUCCUAAAUGUUUGUACCAAUUAACACUCCCACCAGAAGUAGAUAAGCAUGAAAUGUCAUUUUUCUAACUCAGACCAAAAUAUCCUCUUUGCCACUGGGGAUUCCAGACCUCAAAUAACUCAAGCGCCAGUUCCAUCUAUAGCCUCAGUCAAUUCAAAACUGGUCUUUGAACAAAUCCAGACUUAAAGAAACUCCAGUUCUAUUCAAUUUCUGGCUAACUCGUCACAAUCAUCAUAAAACUUUGCAAGCAAAUAAUACCCCCCAGGAGAACAAUAAUAAAUAAUCACAUAUUGCUGGUGCCAGGAUGCAAAGUAAAGAUGUUCAAUGAAAGCAAACAUGCUGACAAAAAUAUUUUGGUAAUCUGAAUAAACUUAAAUCAAACCAAGCAUCAUCCAGAAAUCUAUCCCUACCGCUUUAUGAAAUAAAGUUGCCUUCAUUUCAUGGCAUUUUUAUAACUGGACGUACCAGAUAAAAACCAUGUGUGCAUUUUUGAGAACUAAGAAAAAGUACUGAAUUUACUCUCUUCAAAAACAUGUCAGGGAGUUCCCGUCAAGUGACUCAGUGGUGAACGAAUCCGACUAGGAACUAUGAGGUUGUGGGUUUGAUCCCUGGCCUCACUCAGUGGCAUCCAGCGUUGCUGUGAGCUGCAAUGUAGGUUAAAGAUGCGGCUCGGAUCCCACAUUGCUGUGGCUGUGGCGCAGGCCAGCGACUACAGCUCCAAUUAGACCCCUAGCCUGGAAACCUCCAUAUGGCCGAGGGUGUGGCCCUAGAAAAGGCAAAAAGACAAAAAAUAUAUGUGUAGAUAUAUAUAUUCAGAGUUCCCCUUUGGCACAGUGGGUUAAGAACCCAACAUAGUAUCCUUGAGGAUACAGGUUCAAUCCCUGGCCUUGCUUAGUGGGUUAAGGAUCUGGCAUUGCCACAAGCUUCGGCGUAGGUUGCAGAUGCAGCUUCCAUUCAACCCCUAGCCUGGGAACUUCCAUAUGCUGCAGGUGUGGCUGUAAAAAGAAAAAAAUACAUAUAUAUGAGUUAUGAAAAUACUAAAAACCUUAGAACUGUAUGCUUUAAAAGGAUGAGUUUUAAAUCACAGUAUGUGAAUUAUAUCUCAAUAAAGCUGUUGCUGAGUGGUCCCCAAGCCCCACUUCCCUCUUGGGACCACCCUUGUCCCCUUGGCAAAGCCAGAGACCCUUUCUUCUGCUUCCUGCUCACUUAGGUCUGUCUCCAAACUAAAUUAACUGGUAGAAAAAUCGGCUUUUUGACCUGAAUAUAAUAACCAAACACUUUCACUUCACCAAACCCUCUGGGAAUAAAUGAACACUGCAAAAGAUACCUUGCGUUGUGUUGUCUGUUGUGACAACAGUGGCAGAUAAAAGAGUGAGUGAGUGGCAAGAGGCAUUAUGUCUAGCAUUUAUGUUAAAACAUUUGGACAAAAGCAAAUAUGGAAACAAUAGUCAAAUUCACAGAGACAGAAAGCAGAACAGUGGUUACCAGGGGCUGGGGGAGGAGGGAAGAGAGGGUUGUUGUUUAAGGGUACAGAAUUUCAGUUUUGCAAAAGAAAAGAGUUCUGGAGACUGAUGAUGGUACUGGUUGCACAACAAUAUGAAUGUACUUCAUGCCAAUGAACUGUCCCCUCUCAAAUGGUUAAGACGGUAAAUUUCAUGUUGCGUGUAUUUUGCCACAUAUAUAUUAGAAGGGAAGGCGGCUGUGUUUUGUUUCAGUAUGAGGUCAUGUUCAAGCAAAGAUAAGAUUUCUUUUUCAUAAAGUCACAUAGAUUAUGCACCACAGACUGAGCACUGCUGCAGAUUUUUUUUUUUAAUUUUCAUAAGCAAUACCGAAUUCCAGUGCACAAAUGCUACAACAGCAUAUACUGUGGGUGAGAAGAAGGUUUAAAAAAACCAUGCGAGUUUAAAGUUACUGCUCACAUUGCAACCUUGACAGGACGACUUUGCAAAAACAAGGGCUUAAAUUUAACAGACUAUGCCACGAUUCAGAAAAUGCUACUACCAUAUGCCCGAGGGGACUGAGUCACGCCGGCAGUUUUAACUUUACCAUCUGAAUUUUUUGACUUUCUGUAUGUUUAAAUUCUCAUCACCCUGCUGCUUCAACCUUCAUGUCUGCCACUGAUCAUAUAAUGCAUCUCUUAUCAUUUGACAUAAUCUCUACCAUGCAAUGCUUGUUUUCGAACAGCCCUGAGGUUCAGGGGACACUUUCAAAAACGUUGAACAGUAAAAACGGUCAACGAUGACUGGAAAUGGAAAAACAGCCCAGCCUUCUUUGAUGCCAUCUUUCUGCCUAGAACAACCUUCCCACUCCCACUC